rnacentral:rRNA from 1 species
AAAUUGAAGAGUUUGAUCAUGGCUCAGAUUGAACGCUGGCGGCAGGCCUAACACAUGCAAGUCGAACGGUAACAGGAAGCAGCUUGCUGCUUUGCUGACGAGUGGCGGACGGGUGAGUAAUGUCUGGGAAACUGCCUGAUGGAGGGGGAUAACUACUGGAAACGGUAGCUAAUACCGCAUAACGUCGCAAGACCAAAGAGGGGGACCUUCGGGCCUCUUGCCAUCGGAUGUGCCCAGAUGGGAUUAGCUAGUAGGUGGGGUAACGGCUCACCUAGGCGACGAUCCCUAGCUGGUCUGAGAGGAUGACCAGCCACACUGGAACUGAGACACGGUCCAGACUCCUACGGGAGGCAGCAGUGGGGAAUAUUGCACAAUGGGCGCAAGCCUGAUGCAGCCAUGCCGCGUGUA